CUUCAGAACUUUAGUACAUGUUUCAGGAAAUUCAAGUGUUCCGAUUUUCACUUUCUUUUUUGAUUUUUUGUCCUUCUGUAAAAGCGAACGCUUCCCCGUGGAGUCUUCCUCUUCACUUCCUUUGGUCUGUGACAGACAUGUGAGAUUGGUUUGAGUUCCAUGGCUGACUUUUACAGCCUGACAUCGAGAAGCCACUCGCCAUGAUUGUUCAUAAUAAGGCCUCUUUACUGUAGAAUGAUGGCUAGAUUUAUCUAAGGCCACUGAAAAGUCAUCAGUAUCUGAAAUGCCACCUGCGUUAUCGUCACAAUCUGAAAGAACUUGAAUCGCUGUGGUGUCCUGACUUGCGUCAGCCCAGGUUCAAAACCCUUGGUGGAGCUGUCUCCUUUGACUCCAGCAGCAUCCUCAGUCGCUUCCUCAGAAACAGAAUCAUCAACAGGAACCACUUCAGGAGGUGACGCAGUAUUUGUAAGAAGUCUCUCAUUUUGUGUUGAUCUAAAAAGCAAGGGGGGAAAUCCAUAAAAAUAUUCUGAUAUAUAUUUAAAAUGUUAUAAUAAAGGCACAAUAACUGUAUUUUAUUUCUAUCCUGGGCCCCACUGUUAUAGAACAAGGAACCAAGGCAAUCACAUGAGACUGUACUUCCCUCAGGGAUGGAAAUCAGUAGAGAAGGUGGAGACAGCUCCAUCAAUUGCUACUUAAUAAACACAAAUGGUUCCUAAACAUAAAAAAACUGUUAAAAAAAAAAAAGGAAAGGAAAAAGAAAUAGCCAUCUA